CCUACGGGAGGCAGCAGUGAGGAAUAUUGGUCAAUGGCCGUAAGGCUGAACCAGCCAAGUAGCGUGAGGGAUGAAGGUUCUAUGGAUCGUAAACCUCUUUUAUCAGGGAAUAAAGUGUGGGACGUGUCCUGUUUUGUAUGUACCUUAUGAAUAAGGAUCGGCUAACUCCGUGCCAGCAGCCGCGGUAAUACGGAGGAUCCGAGCGUUAUCCGGAUUUAUUGGGUUUAAAGGGUGCGUAGGCGGACUUUUAAGGCAGCGGUGAAAGUCUGUGGCUCAACCAUAGAAUUGCCGUUGAAACUGGGAGGCUUGAGUAUGUUAGAGGCAGGCGGAAUGCGUGGUGUAGCGGUGAAAUGCUUAGAUAUCACGCAGAACCCCGAUUGCGAAGGCAGCCUGCCAGGCCAUGACUGACGCUGAUGCACGAAAGCGUGGGGAUCAAACAGGAUUAGAUACCCCAGUAGUC
rnacentral:rRNA from 1 species